GCUUGGUUUCUCGAUGAAUUAACGUGGGGUACCCAUAGGAACCGCUUCGGCUCCUACUAUGGGAGCAGCGUGUGCGCGCAUAAUUGAAGGUGAAAGCGAUCGAGCCAUGGUGGCUUUACCGGCGGUAAUGUGAGCAGGACAUGCCGGCCAAAAAUCUUGGUUUCUCGAUGAAUUAACGUGGGGUACCACUAGGUAUCGCUUCGGUUCUUACUAUGAGGGCAGCGCGUGUGCGCGCAUAAUUGAAGGUGAAAGCGAAAGCGAUCGAGCCUUGGUGGCUUUAGUGGCGGUAAUGUGAGCAAGAUAUGACGGCCAAAUAGCUUGGUUUCUCGGUGAAUUAACGUGGGGUACCCGUAUAGAGGUCCGCGCGUGCGCGCAUAAUUAAAGGUGAACCUUGCAUGAAUGCGCAUGAAUGGAUUAACGAGAUUCCUGAUGUCCCUAUCUACUAUCUAGCGAAACCACAGGCAAGGAUAGGACUUGGCAUAAUUAGAUUGAUUUUGAUCUUCAGUAUGAAUACAGACCGCGAAAGCGUGGCCUAUCGAUCCUUUUUUGAACUCGCGAGUUUCAAGGAAGUGGUGCCAGAAAAUUUACCACAGGGAUAACUGGCUUGUGGCAGCAAAGCGUUCAUAGCGACGUUGCCUUUUGAUGCUUGGACGGAGUAGGAUAGGAUAGGAUAUGCAUGUUUAUCCCCGUGAAUGGGAAAACCCCAGGGGUUAUCACACGGGCAAUCGUCAGAUCACCUCGCGCCCAUCGUCGGGUUACCGGAGCUAUUGCAGUGUGUUGUAUGUGAUAGACACGUUCCUUCAAUUUGGUAGAACCCAUUAAUCCGCUGGGUUCAGGCAAUGUCCGUAAAGUGCCUUGCCCAAGGACACAACCGACUAGCUAGCGACCAGUUUCGCAACUGCAACCUUUCGAUUGAAAGGCGACGCACUUAACCGCUAGACCAUCGGGCCGGACACAAACGAUUCAGACAUUUGGUUAAUGUGAUGGGCUGUUAAGCCAAUGGUGCGAAGCUACGUACUAUCCGAUGAUUUUGACUGAACGCCUCUAAGUCAGAAUUCCACCUGGAAAGCGACGAUGCAUUCCUGCCUCGGCCUCGAGAGGCGU
rfam:Ciona savignyi cont_47486, whole genome shotgun sequence.